ensembl:lncRNA
GCCCUUUGUCACGGUCCUGGGUCGGUUCGACCCAGCAUUUUGGGUUUCUUAUGCUUUGGUUUAUUUUUUGCAUUAUGGAUCAUUUCUUAUCCUCUGGUGGUGCUGUUUUGAUUGUAAUUGUGUUCUGUUCCUUUGCCGAUGAUGAGUAUUUCUGGUUUGGGUUUUGUUAGCUUGCCCUCAUGUUUAGUUUAGGUGGCCUGUGGUUGGUCUUCUCUCUCUGUCCGUGAUGUUAUUGUGCUUGCUUAUGAGUCUGCAUCUGUGUCUCUGUCUGUCGUGUGCUUCCUGUUUUAUUCUGAAGGUCCCCGUCUCAUGUGAGUGUGUUCAGUUUACGUUUCCCCUGUCCCGUCAGCUCUGAUUUCUCCCAGGUGUGUUCCCCUCCUGUCUCUCAUCCCUUGAUUACUGCCAUGUGUAUAUAAGCCCUGUGUUUCCUUUGUUCUCUGUCGCGUCGUUAACGUCUGUUCACCCUCACAUCCUCUGUGUGCUCUGUUUGCCAGCCUGCCUAUCUGUCUAGUUAUUCUGUACUCCCAGUUUAGUUAGUGUUUUUCUGUUCUGCUUCAUCCCAGCAAUAAAGCUGUGUAUUUUGAGUUUCUUCCGCCUCCUCGAGUCCUGCGUUUUGGGUCCUUCCUCUCUGCCUGCCUGCACACAGCCGAGCCAUGACAGAACGACGCGACCAGUACACGGACCCAGCGGACUCACGGUGGAAGCGCAGCUCCCGUUUUGACGGGACCCGGCUAGCGCUUGGAGGGCCUCCGUGCUGCCAUUCCUCGCUAGCAGCCUACACUUCGGCCCGCUCAUCUGCUUCCUCCCCUUGGACGCCCCGGUCUCGCAGAAAACGCUCCAGCCGGUCCCGGGAGGAUUACUACGAGCCCGCAAGCAACCAGCUUACGCCGGCUCAGGCAUUCUAUAAGAUGUUAGGGAUUAUUAUCGUGCCACCCGACUCACCCAGCGUUUCAACAUCACAGCAGGAGCAGCCUCAGCCGAGUCAUCCCUCGUCGCAUUCUGCCAGCGCUGCUCCCUCUUCUACGAGUAAGCGGCGAACGCGCCGCCAGCACUCACCGCUCCAGCAGGAGCCUGGGACUCUUUUCGAACAACCGCCUAAGGUGAGUGACAAAGUCUCGCUACAUUCGCCUUCUGUGUCAAGGGAUAAACACACUGUUUCCCCCAAGGCCGCUAACGCCGGCUUCAUGAACUCUGGGACUCGUGUUUCUCCUGUUGGGGAAAAUGAAAGUAAUCAUUUUGAGAGCGAUCGUUUUCCCGUUGAGUCAAAAGACUGUGCGUCUGAUGCUCCUUCGGACCCAGGAGUCAAGACUGGAAGUGUUUAUCCUGGGGCUAUGGCUGUUCAGUUAGCCGCCCGGCCCGAAGCCCAGUCGCCACCUCCACCACAUUCAGCCUCAUUACCCAUAGCACAGUCACAACCACAGCUAGACUUACUACAAACCUUAUUACAAUCCAUAACCAAGUCAGUAGCUCAGUUGGCAGAAGAGUCACUAGCCUUAUCAUCAGGUCAGUCUCCAGUGUCCUCAUUACCUGUUGUUCAACCAUCUUCUCCACCGCUAGUUUCAUCCUCUCCUCACCCGAUACUUCAGCCUGUAGCAGCCCAGUCCCCUGUAGCUCAGUCAUUCUCUCAAUCACCAGUUCCACCUUUACCACAACCACCACUACAACCUGUUCUCCAGUCUGUUCAGUCGAGUUCAGUGCACUCUCUUGUAUUGCCAGCACCUCAGCCAUUAGCACUGCCCGCUCCUCAGCCACCAUCUCCACCCACUCAGUUUCAGGAGGAGGAUAGCCCCACACCGACUUUUGCUGCUCCUCAAGACCUGGCUAAAUCAGAGACUUUUACUCUUUCCGGGGCCUCCCCAGAGGUUAAAUAUCAGCAUUCAGUUAACUCUGGCCCCCUGGACAUAAAGAAGCCAGCUGAGUACUGCAAGCGGCCGUCACUGCCUGAGCAGAAUCAAUGCUCUGUGCAGCUGCAGUCUGCUGUGUGUUUGCCAGAGGCCCGUGUGCCUGCUGGUUCUGUCUUGUCCCUGCCAGAGGCCCGUGUGCCUGCUGGUCCUGUCCUGUCCCUGCCAGAGGCCCGUGUGCCUGCUGGUCCUGUCCUGUCCCUGCCAGAGGCCCGUGUGCCUGCUGGUCCUGUUCCGUGUUUGCCAGGGGCCCCGGUGCCCACUGGUUCUGAGACUGUUUUGGCUGGGGGGCCCGAGGAGCCCGUCCAGCCUUCAGCUUCGUCAGCUGGGGGGCCCGAGGAGGCCGUCCAGCCUUCAGCUUCGUCAGCUGGGGGGCCCGAGGAGGCCGUCCAGCCUUCAGCUUCGUCAGCUGGGGGCCCGAGGAGCCCGUCCAGCCUUCAGCUUCGUCAGCUGGAGGGCCCGAGGAGCCCGUCCAGCCUUCAGCUUCGUCAGCUGGAGGUUCAGAAGAACCUAGCCAGCCUCCUGCCUCGUCAGCUGGAGGGCCCGAGGAGUCCGUCCAGCCGCCAGCUGCCGCCUCAUCACCCUCGCCAGCUGCCGCCUCAUCACCCUCGCCAGCUGCCGCCUCAUCACCCUCGCCAGCUGCCGCGCCAGCGUCAUCACCCUCGCCAGCUGCCGCGCCAGCGUCAUCACCCUCGCCAGCUGCCGCGCCAGCGUCAUCACCCUCGCCAGCUGCCGCGCCAGCGUCAUCACCCUCGCCAGCUGCCGCGCCAGCGUCAUCACCCUCGCCAGCUGCCGCGCCAGCCUCAUCCACGCCGCCUGCAGCGCCAGCCUCAUCCACGCCGCCUGCAGCGCCAGCCUCAUCCACGCCGCCUGCAGCGCCAGCCUCAUCCACGCCGCCUGCAGCAGCCUCCUCAUCUGCUUCAGUGCCGCCGGCAGCAGCAGCCACAUCGGCGUCACCUGCUGCAGCGCCUCCGUCUCCGGCUUCCACGCCGCCACCAUCUGCCGUCUCAGAGUCUUCAUCCUCGCCAGCUGCAGCCUCCUCAUCGGCUGCAUCACCCACGCCAUCGCCUGGUCCAGCCUCUGCUUCAGCUUCAGCUUCAGCCCCGCCUGGUCCAGCCUCAGUCUUCAGCCCCGCCUGGUCCAGCUGCAGCCUCGUCCUCGCCUGCAGCGCCACCAUCUCCGGCUUCCACGCCGUCGCCUGCAGCGCCACCAUCUCCGGCUUCCACGCCGUCGCCUGCAGCGCCACCAUCUCCGGCUUCCACGCCGUCGCCUGCAGCGCCACCAUCUCCGGCUUCCACGCCGUCGCCUGCAGCGCCACCAUCUCCGGCUUCCACGCCGUCGCCUGCAGCGCCAUUCUCGUCUGGUCCAGCCUCCGAGCCUCCAGCUUCGCCUGGCCCAGAUUCAGCAUCAGCUCCAGCGUCGCCUGCAGCAGCACCAGCACCAGCUUCGGCUUCAGCUUCCCCUGUCCGUCCUGCUCGUCCUGUCCGUCCUGCUCGUCCUGUCCGGCCGCUUUCUAGGCCAAUGACUGGACGUCCUUGCCGUCGUGGACGGCCCCCUUCCGGGCCGAUGGUUGGGCGUCGCCGCCACUGCCUUCCGCGUGGCCGGCCUCCAGACUGCCUUCGUUUGCCUCGCCGCCGUUGCCGCCAGCACGGUCGGCCCCCAGAACUGUUUCUACACAGUUGCCGUCCAUACGGUCGGCCCCCAGAACUGUGUCCCCGCCACUGGCUACUGCAUGGCCGGCCUCCGGACCUGCCCCGCUGCCGCUGCCUUUCACACGGUCGGCCUCCGGAACUGAACUGGUUUGGCCUCCUGUGCGGUCGGCCUCCGGGUCGGCCCCCUGAACUGUUUGUUAGGUCUGUGUUUCUUGACCGUCUGGGUUUUUGGUUUGUGUUUGGACUCUGUCCCUCCGUCCUGGACCCCCGCCGCCCGCCCUGGUUGGGUUGUUUUCUGUUUUUUUGGCCAGUUUUUGUGUUUCUGUGGGGCUGUCUGGAGCCAGCCCUUGAGGGGGGGGUACUGUCACGGUCCUGGGUCGGUUCGACCCAGCAUUUUGGGUUUCUUAUGCUUUGGUUUAUUUUUGCAUUAUGGAUCAUUUCUUAUCCUCUGGUGGUGCUGUUUUGAUUGUAAUUGUGUUCUGUUCCUUUGCCGAUGAUGAGUAUUUCUGGUUUGGGUUUUGUUAGCUUGCCCUCAUGUUUAGUUUAGGUGGCCUGUGGUUGGUCUUCUCUCUCUGUCCGUGAUGUUAUUGUGCUUGCUUAUGAGUCUGCAUCUGUGUCUCUGUCUGUCGUGUGCUUCCUGUUUUAUUCUGAAGGUCCCCGUCUCAUGUGAGUGUGUUCAGUUUACGUUUCCCCUGUCCCGUCAGCUCUGAUUUCUCCCAGGUGUGUUCCCCUCCUGUCUCUCAUCCCUUGAUUACUGCCAUGUGUAUAUAAGCCCUGUGUUUCCUUUGUUCUCUGUCGCGUCGUUAACGUCUGUUCACCCUCACAUCCUCUGUGUGCUCUGUUUGCCAGCCUGCCUAUCUGUCUAGUUAUUCUGUACUCCCAGUUUAGUUAGUGUUUUUCUGUUCUGCUUCAUCCCAGCAAUAAAGCUGUGUAUUUUGAGUUUCUUCCGCCUCCUCGAGUCCUGCGUUUUGGGUCCUUCCUCUCUGCCUGCCUGCACACAGCCGAGCCAUGACACCCUUUCAGUAUUUAAUUAUAUUUGCAUUAACAUUUCAAUUAAAAGC